GACGAACGCUGGCGGCGCGCCUAACACAUGCAAGUCGAACGAGCGAGAGAGAGCUUGCUUUCUCAAGCGAGUGGCGAACGGGUGAGUAACGCGUGAGGAACCUGCCUCAAAGAGGGGGACAACAGUUGGAAACGACUGCUAAUACCGCAUAAGCCCACGACCCGGCAUCGGGUAGAGGGAAAAGGAGCAAUCCGCUUUGAGGUGGCCUCGCGUCCGAUUAGCUAGUUGGUGAGGUAACGGCCCACCAAGGCGACGAUCGGUAGCCGGACUGAGAGGUUGAACGGCCACAUUGGGACUGAGACACGGCCCAGACUCCUACGGGAGGCAGCAGUGGGGAAUAUUGCACAAUGGGGGAAACCCUGAUGCAGCGACGCCGCGUGGAGGAAGAAGGUCUUCGGAUUGUAAACUCCUGUUGUUGAGGAAGAUAAUGACGGUACUCAACAAGGAAGUGACGGCUAACUACGUG
rnacentral:rRNA from 1 species